UGGGGAAUAUCGGACAAUGGGCGAAAGCCUGAUCCAGCCAUGCCGCGUGUGUGAAGAAGGUCUUCGGAUUGUAAAGCACUUUAAGUUGGGAGGAAGGGCAGUAAGCGAAUACCUUGCUGUUUUGACGUUACCGACAGAAUAAGCACCGGCUAACUCUGUGCCAGCAGCCGCGGUAAUACAGAGGGUGCAAGCGUUAAUCGGAAUUACUGGGCGUAAAGCGCGCGUAGGUGGUUCGUUAAGUUGAAUGUGAAAGCCCCGGGCUCAACCGGGGAACUGCAUCCAAAACUGGCGAGCUAGAGUAGGGCAGAGGGUGGUGGAAUUUCCUGUGUAGCGGUGAAAUGCGUAGAUAUAGGAAGGAACACCAGUGGCGAAGGCGACCACCUGGGCUCAUACUGACACUGAGGUGCGAAAGCGUGGGGAGCAAACAGG
rnacentral:rRNA from 1 species